GGAACUGACGUAGGACGCGCGCCUCCCAGGUGCCAGAGUUCGUAUAUGACUCCAGUCCUGGCGCUGGAUGCUGCUGCUGUUCCAGCUUCCUAGGUGUGGAAACUGAAGGACCAAGAGAUUAAACAGUGGUGCAAAAGUGGUAAGAAUUCAGCAUUCUCCUCGACAAGUGGACGAGCAUCUACUGUGCUUUCACAGCGGCUAUCACUAUUGCCAGCAGCAAGACUGUCAGCUCGGCGCCCUCGUCUGGUUGGAUGGGAAACUGCAGUUGCUAAGGGAGCUGGGAAUCUCUGAGGACAAAUGGGAAUUCUCACUGAUUUCUAGGACUACCCUGGGGCAGGCACCCUGCACAGCAAUACACACUGAACAAUGUCGAGUUUCUGCUGAAUAGACUUCCUACGUUGCUCUGGAAUUCGAAGUUGGCCUAACUGAGGUCUCCAGUUACAGAAAACACUGGCUCUGUAUCCUGGGCUUUGAGAAAACUUAUCAGGCUGUCACACUUACCAUCCCUUCAGUCUGCUUGUCAGGUUCCUUAAGGACGCAUAUCUCAAAUGUAUGGCAUCUACCUCUACCUGGGUCACAACCAAGUGGGUUUCUACUAGAUCGGUGUUCCUUGACAGCCAACAAGGGAGCUGACACUGCCCUCCUAAGUUCUGAUCUUGCUCCUGUUCAACUGGAACUUGAUGGAUCCCAUGUGGUUUCCCCCAUCCUGACGCUGUGGCUCAGACACUCUCCCUAAGCUGGUCCUUCCCUCCAAAUCCUGCCUUAAACACACUCAGAAGGUAGAAAACACUUCAGCAGCAAAGUCCUCUUCCCAAGCCAACAGUUGUGUUCUUCCAAUCACAUGAUCUUACCUUUUCAAUAAAAGGCAAAACAAACCAAUUUCCAACAUAGCAUUACAGCCUUUAAAACCAUUCACUUCUCAUAGUGAUUCACAGAGAACAAGAGAUUAAAGUGCUGGAUUUUAAAUGUCUAAA
rnacentral:lncRNA from 1 species